GCUGUGAUGGCCGAGUGGUUAAGGCGUUGCUGGACUUGAAAUCCAAUGGGGUCUCCCCGCGCAGGUUCGAACACUGCUCGCAGCG
rnacentral:tRNA from 1 species